rnacentral:lncRNA from 1 species
CUGUGCCUUUUGCAAAAACUUUGCCACUGGUCUCCUGGGGAGACCAACAGAAUCUGGACAAGGAGGGCCGGGCCUGCGCCAGGGUGACUGGGCGCCCCGGUCCCCGAUGUGCUCCCGUUAGAAAAUACUCGUCUCUUCCCAAGGCCUGUGAGGAGCCAGGGGUCCCUUUCUGACUGUGGGUCCUCACCUCUUACUAAACGUUGGCCCUUGCAGCGUUUCCCGGCCUGAGAGUGUCCGUGGAGCGCACACACACACACACACACACAUGCACACACACAUGCUGUUUGGGCUCUGUCUGGAAGAGUCCACCCCGGAAGUCAAAUUCCAGCUUUUGUAAAAAGACCAAAAACAUAUACGUAAAAUUCCAGCUCUUGGGCCAGCGCCGCAGUCUUGCCCGUGUCCACCUUCCAUGGGGUCAAGGAAGGUGCCAGCCCACUUCGCCCCGAGGUCCCCCUGUUCGCGGGAAGGGCAGCUCGUGACCGAGCGUCUCAGCUCUGCAUUAGCUCAUUGCCAAGGGCAAACGCCCCCCCUUUCCACCAUCUCCAACUCCCGCGUCGUAGCGUUCUAGUGCUUUCCUCACCAAAGACCCCCUGCUUCUCGUGGUCCCAUCAAGUGAUCGUGUGGUUGGAGCGUCUGCAUUUUACCACGUGCUCUCCGGGCCACGCGGAAUUCAUCGAGUUUGGUUUUGAGCUAAAUUUCCUUCCUCUUACGGAUCUUUGAGGAAACGUGAGGUCAUGGAGCCCGUGGCCACUCAUGCCUUAGAGUCGCUUCUCUCCUUUCCUGGUGCAGAAACAGUCAAGGGAGAUCCUUGGCUGUGAGUUUCUGGAACACGAUGCCGUCAGAAGCCCAGCGAUGCACUUGGGCGUCUUUCUCCUUUUGUUCGGCUUUCGGUAACCACGCGGUCACCUGGGGGACGCCCAGGGCUCCCCAAUACUUGCGACUCUAAGACCAGGUCUUAGAGGAGCCCAAGGGACAGGGACAGAAAGGACAGGUCCUGAGGGUUGGGCCUUCGUUCAGGGGUAGGAAAAGGGUUCCUUUCAGCAAACCCCAGGUUAACCCUGGUUGGCAAGAGCCCCCCAGCCAGCGAACGCCAGGAACAAACAGGGGAAGAGGAAGUGGCUUCCGAUUCGAGCAAGCGAGCCUGAAUUCUCUUUCACUCUUUCUUCCCCAGCCGUGGGCAUCUGGGCACUGCUCCAUCAGCACCUCCGGGGGUGGGGUGGGGGGGGCCCAUCCUCGCAUGCUCCUCGGUUGAGAGAAGACCAUCUUGGCUGAUGACAGUGAAGCCAGGAGGCCAAAAGGCGAGUAGAGUCAGGGCCUCACCUGUGUCCCUGCAAACCAGCAGGGGCGCGGUCCCUACGGGCCGUCCCAGUGGCCCCACCAAAGGCUCCUCUGUCAGUGGGGUGGCCAGAUGUCUCCAGGAACUUCUGAAUUUCACCAAGUCAAGCUGCCCACUCUCCACUCCACAAGGAUGCUAAAUGUUUUGUUUUGUUUUUUUUAAAUCUGAUUUUAGAACCUCGGUAAUGCAUGUGCAUUGCGUCUUUCCUAUUAGGGGCCAGGAUAGAUUAAUGUUUUCCAACAUAGAGGAAAAGAUAUAAGCUGCAGUAAUUUGUUCUUUUUGGUGUCCAUUAAACCCAAUAUAGAGUAUGCUGGUAUCCUCUUGUGUUCCCUGUGCCUUUUUUUUUUUUUUUU